rnacentral:rRNA from 1 species
GACGAACGCUGGCGGCGUGCCUAAUACAUGCAAGUCGAACGCUGAAGAGAGGAGCUUGCUCUUCUUGGAUGAGUUGCGAACGGGUGAGUAACGCGUAGGUAACCUGCCUUGUAGCGGGGGAUAACUAUUGGAAACGAUAGCUAAUACCGCAUAACAAUGGAUGACCCAUGUCAUUUAUUUGAAAGGGGCAAAUGCUCCACUACAAGAUGGACCUGCGUUGUAUUAGCUAGUAGGUGAGGUAACGGCUCACCUAGGCGACGAUACAUAGCCGACCUGAGAGGGUGAUCGGCCACACUGGGACUGAGACACGGCCCAGACUCCUACGGGAGGCAGCAGUAGGGAAUCUUCGGCAAUGGGGGCAACCCUGACCGAGCAACGCCGCGUGAGUGAAGAAGGUUUUCGGAUCGUAAAGCUCUGUUGUAAGUCAAGAACGAGUGUGAGAGUGGAAAGUUCUCACUGUGACGGUAGCUUACCAGAAAGGGACGGCUAACUACGUG